UCCCUCUCAGAGUCACACCUGGAGAGUUCCCAGUACUCUACCAGUCUCGACUACAGAAAGAAGAGUCAGGCGGAGGCAUAUCCAUUCCAUUGCUAGCUUGAGUAGUGGCUAGUAAGUGGAAGACAAUCUGCUGCAAGA